UGGAGUUACUAGUAAUCGCAGAUCAGAAUGCUGCGGUGAAUGCGUUCCCGGGUCUUGUACACACCGCCCGUCACACCACGGGAGUUGGAGACGCCCGAAGCCGAUUAUCUAACCUUUUGGAAGAAGUCGUCGAAGGUGGAAUCAAUAACUGGGGUGAAGUCGUAACAAGGUAGCCGUAUCGGAAGGUGCGGCUGGAUCACCUCCUUU
rnacentral:rRNA from 1 species